ACAAUACCGUGAACUCAAGAACCGCGGUUUCAAUAUGGAUCUUGGAUGGGCGGGGAACGUACAGAGGCAGCAGAACCAAGGCGCCGCGAUGGGUGCUCCUGUCUUUCAAGGUGGCAUGAACCGUUAAGACUAAUUCUUUAAUGUAAUUUAUUCAGUUUUAUAAUAAACGAGGUUUAGUCCUCUGUGUGUUUCUGUAAUAUGCUCGUGAAUUAUGAACUGAAAGUGAUUAUAUAUUUGUGUAAUAUUCGGUCAAAGAUAUGACAUUUGGACAA